rnacentral:lncRNA from 1 species
UUUUACGACCCUCCACCAAGUGUGGAAAAGCUCGAAACACAUCCAAUCACUCGAACCUCGCAAUUUGCAAAUAUCCAGUGUGUUACAGUAAAUCUCGGUGUGAUUUUUAUUUUCCGCAUUUAUUUUUUUCGCAUUGAGAUUUAUGCUUUUUGGUUAUUACACCUAUUCACCCCCUCUAGGUGUUAGAUACAAUCUAAAUAGAUUCUCAGGCUCCUUUAAAACUUUCAAAAUUAUAGAAAAACCCCCAGUCAAAAUCCGAUUUUUUUACUUUCCCUCCCUGUCAUUUAAAAAUCUACACUUUGCCCCCUUGUAAAAUGAAAAAUGUUCACAGGGGGUACGGUGUGAACUAUAAUGAUAAAAUAACCAUUUUGCCCUCACCAUUUUGCCCCUCAUCUUGUUCACAGGAGAGAAGACUGAGGGCAUUUUUGGCAUAAAAAAUAUUUAAUAAUAUUUUAUAAACGAAACCCUAACGGAUUACUAACGGCAGGGGGUGAAGUGAAUAUUUUUUAUUUUACAAGGGUGCAAAGUGUAAGUUUUUAAAUGACAGCGGGGUAAGUGUAAAAUCGGAUUUUGACAGGGAAGUUUUAUGUAUUUUAGUCAAAAUUUUAUUAUUAAAAAAGUAAAGCAAAAUAUACAAUUUUUCCUUUUUUGGUAAUAUUCCAAUUCAACUGUAUACACCUGUUUGGCUUGGUUGGAGAAGUAAUUUAUAAAGAAUUGAUUUUAGUUUGGAGAAUUAAUUUUAGUUAAAAUUGUACAGUAUUUGGUUGAAUUUAGUAGGAAAGUGAUAUUUCUGAAGUGAUUUUGUAAAGUUAUUUCACAAAUUUUUAUUUACUAUUUGCAAUUUUUUUUUACUAAAUUUUAUUUUAAAAUUUAAAAUUAAAAUAUAAAAUAUAAAAUAUGAACUAAAAUUUAAAGUUGAUAUUUGAAUUUAAAUUUAAAUUUUAAAAUUUAAAAUUUGGUAUUUAGAAUUUAAAAUUAAAUUUAAAAUUAAAUUUUAAUUUCUAAUUUGAGUCUAAAAUUAAAAUCAAAUUUUAGGGACUAGAUUUAACCUACUUCUGAGUUUGGAGGCUUUGUUAGAAAAGUAAUUCUAAAAAUUAAAAUCAUAUUUUUAAAAGAGGUGACAAAAUGCUAGGGGUGUAAACGGAUCGGAUAUGGUCAGAUAUUUGAUGAAACCAUAUCCGCAUCCAUAUAUAUAUUUUUUUGAUACGAAUAUGUGUUGGAUGCUAAAUUUUUAUUAUCAUAUAUGCUAAAAACGGAUUCGGAUAUAAUCGAAUAUUUUUCGAAUUCGAAUAUGGAUCAGAUAUAUAUUCCGUUAAUAAUAAACAUUAACAUUUUACUUUACUUUCCUAUACGAUUUUUCCUAAUUAUAUUUUUUUCACAUAUAAAUAUGUAAUUUUAAUAUAUAACUCAUUAUAAAAUAAAUGAAUAACACGAGAAAUCACCUUAUUUUUUCACAAGAUGUAUUAAUCAUCCCUUGGUAUCUUGAUUGGUAAUGAAUUAGAUGAGUAAACAAGAGAGAUCAACUAUAGAGGUAAGGAAUUUGGGCAGGCCGGGAAUUUGGGCGGGCCGGGCAGGCGAAAUUGGGCCGGGGGAUCUAUUUCCCCUUUUUCGGAUAUUCGGAAAAAUUUAACUCCCUAAAACUAUAUCCUUAUUUGUAUACGGCCGAAUCUGGUUAUUUUUUAUUUGGAUAAAGAUAUUAUUAAAUACAGGUGCAAUUAUUUUCGAAUAAUAUCCGAUCCGUUCUCACCCCUACUAAACACUUUAUUAAAAAAAAUCAUAUAUAUUUAGCAAAUUACAUCACUUUUUUUUAAAAAAUAAUAUAAUAAAAAUAUUUUUUAAAAAAAUUAUGAUGAAAUGGAUAAAUUUUAGACAAACAAGUCGAUCAUCUGGAGAUACCACAUUACUAAUGUGAUUACUACGGUAGAAAAAAGAAAAUCUAAAAUGCACCAAUUAUAUUGCUGAUGUGGUCUUUCCAACCAACUAAAUUAAUUUUCUUAGAUUCACUCGUUGAUUAUUAGAAAAAUAUUUUUAUUAUAUUUUUUUCUAAUAUAGAAAUAUGAUUGAAUAAUUAUUAAUAAUAUGAUGUAUGUGUUAUAUAAGAGACUUACGUAAUUUAGGACUUUUUUAUAAAAUAAUCAUCUAACAUUUUAUAAUUUACGAAAUAACCCUGCCAAAUUUCUUUUAAAAACGGUGAAUCGUUCACCCCGUUCUCUAAUUUCUUUUAAAUGCGGCGAAUUUUUUACCGCUUUCUCCUAUUUUUUUUAAAUCGGUGAAUCGCUCGCCAUAUUCAUUAAAAUUGUGCGUAUAUUAUAAAGGAAAUAGAAAAAAGUGAGAUUAUUAAGAUUAUAUGUGGAUCAUUAGAAUUUUUAUCUGAAUAUUAGGGUUGUAUAGAUAGAUUAUUAGGAUUUUUCAGGCUGUUGAGAUUAUAUGAAAUUAUAUAGAUACAUUUUUAGGAUUUUUUUAAAAUUAUAUGAAAUUAUAUGGAUAGAUUAUUAAGAUUUUCAGAUUAUUUGAAUUUUUAGGUUGUUAAGAUUAUAUGUAAUUUGUUAAAAUUUUUAUGUGGUUGUUAGAAUUAUAUGUAAGAUAAAGAAAGAAACAGUAAAUAAACGAAAGGGUGGUGAAUAAUUUAUUGACUUUGUGAAAAAUAAGGAAGGUGGUGAAUCGUUUAUCGUAUUUAAUAAGACUCGGCGAAAAUAGGGAUUGUUUUACAAAUUUUAAAAUUUUAAAAUUUUAAAGAGUUGUUUUAUAAAAAAAAUGUC